rnacentral:rRNA from 1 species
AGAGUUUGAUCAUGGCUCAGAACGAACGCUGGCGGCAGGCCUAACACAUGCAAGUCGAACGCCCCGCAAGGGGAGUGGCAGACGGGUGAGUAACACGUGGGAACCUUCCCUAUAGUACGGAAUAGCCCAGGGAAACUUGGAGUAAUACCGUAUACGCCCGAAAGGGGAAAGAAUUUCGCUAUAGGAUGGGCCCGCGUAGGAUUAGCUAGUUGGUGAGGUAAUGGCUCACCAAGGCGACGAUCCUUAGCUGGUUUGAGAGAACGACCAGCCACACUGGGACUGAGACACGGCCCAGACUCCUACGGGAGGCAGCAGUGGGGAAUAUUGGACAAUGGGCGCAAGCCUGAUCCAGCCAUGCCGCGUGAGUGAUGAAGGCCUUAGGGUUGUAAAGCUCUUUUAUCCGGGACGAUAAUGACGGUACCGGAGGAAUAAGCCCCGGCUAACUUCGUGCCAGCCGCCGCGGUAAUAC